rnacentral:sRNA from 1 species
UAGGGUAGGUACUACAAACGAAGAUGUUU